UCCCUGAUAGCUCAGUCGGUAGAGCAGCGGACUGUUAAUCCGUUGGUCGCUGGUUCGAGUCCAGCUCGGGGAGCCA
rnacentral:tRNA from 2 species